GCCAGACUCCUACGGGAGGCAGCAGUGGGGAAUAUUGCACAAUGGGGGAAACCCUGAUGCAGCGACGCCGCGUGAGUGAGGAAGUAUUUCGGUAUGUAAAGCUCUCUCAGCAGGGAAGAAAAAAUGACGGUACCUGACUAAGAAGCACCGGCUAAAUACGUGCCAGCAGCCGCGGUAAUACGUAUGGUGCAAGCGUUAUCCGGAUUUACUGGGUGUAAAGGGAGCGCAGGCGGUACGGCAAGUCUGAUGUGAAAGCCCGGGGCUCAACCCCGGUACUGCAUUGGAAACUACCGGACUGGAGUGUCGGAGGGGUAAGUGGAAUUCCUAGUGUAGCGGUGAAAUGCGUAGAUAUUAGGAGGAACACCAGUGGCGAAGGCGGCUUACUGGACGAUCACUGACGCUGAGGCUCGAAAGUGUGGGGAGCAAACAGGAUUAGAUACCCGCGUAA
rnacentral:rRNA from 1 species